rnacentral:rRNA from 2 species
UGCAGUCGAGCGGACUGAUGGGAGCUUGCUCCCAUCAGUCAGCGGCGGACGGGUGAGUAACACGUGGGUAACCUGCCUGUAAGACUGGGAUAACUCCGGGAAACCGGGGCUAAUACCGGAUAACUCAUUUCCUCGCAUGAGGAAAUGUUGAAAGGUGGCUUUUAGCUAUCACUUACAGAUGGACCCGCGGCGCAUUAGCUAGUUGGUGAGGUAACGGCUCACCAAGGCGACGAUGCGUAGCCGACCUGAGAGGGUGAUCGGCCACACUGGGACUGAGACACGGCCCAGACUCCUACGGGAGGCAGCAGUAGGGAAUCUUCCGCAAUGGACGAAAGUCUGACGGAGCAACGCCGCGUGAGUGAUGAAGGUUUUCGGAUCGUAAAACUCUGUUGUUAGGGAAGAACAAGUACCGUUCGAAUAGGGCGGUACCUUGACGGUACCUAACCAGAAAGCCACGGCUAACUACGUGCCAGCAGCCGCGGUAAUACGUAGGUGGCAAGCGUUGUCCGGAAUUAUUGGGCGUAAAGCGCGCGCAGGUGGUUUCUUAAGUCUGAUGUGAAAGCCCACGGCUCAACCGUGGAGGGUCAUUGGAAA